UUCAUUUAUACUACGUGUCUUUUAAGUGGAAUAGGAACAACCACGUAUUUUAUGAAUAUAUUGCUGGUUGUUUUGGAUAUUCUGCUCCUCUUUCAAUUUUUGGUCAACAUCUUCAUCUUUUUGGUCUCCAUUUUUUUUUUUCAUUUCUUUGCUUCUUCAAGUUCUCUUAGAAAAUUCUCAAUUUCAUGGUUGUUGAAAAAAUUACUCGUAAGUCAAAGCCUGGAUUUUGGUAUUUCACGCCAUGAAAGCUCCGGCAUAGAAAGCUCCCGAAUGCCGCCACCGGUGGUGACAAGAAGAAGAAGUCAAUUGAGACUUCUAGAAGGUGCUGAAGCAAGUUUACCCCGACAUCGGUAUCUCCAGCAAAGCCAUGGGUUAUUGAUAAAUUUCAACUUAAAAUCCCUUUAUUCUAAAGUAAAUAUUUGUUUCUCUGAUUCUAAUUUUUGAAUUUUAGGGUCCUGUUUCUUGAGUUUUGCGGGAUAUGUUGUCAAUAAAGUAAAGGAAACAAGAGUGAGAGAUUUCAGAGAAAUAUAAACCAAAGUAAUGGUGGUGGUGGUGGCGAUCAUCGCAAUCGCUUAAACCAAAGUUAUGGUGGUGGUGGCGGUCAUCGCAAUCGCUUACAACAUUCAGGCAGUAUUGCGUUGUUUUCGCUUUUCUAAUUCUCAUUCUGAUGGGCAUCUUAUGAUUUUCAUAUGUGGGUAUAUUUCUUGUGAAAACUCAAGGCUACUAAGUAUUGUUAGUUCUGAUUUGAAAUUGGAUAUUGUCCUACAUAUUUGCUAUAAAAAUGUGUUCCUUGCUA